UCAAAGAAAAGCAGCAAGCACAUCAGUCAGUACAUUAGAAGACUGGAGGACUGUAGAAGAUCCCCAAAAAGCAAUUUGGCUUUUCACCAAAGAGAUACUGCAUAAUAACAACAGUUCUGACGAGAAUCACUUUGCAGUGGAUUUGAGGAAAGACCAGGAGGAACAGGACAUGUCUUAUGUGAGCUUCUACAAACGGUCAAAUGUGGAGUGGGCAUCUCCACUGAGAUGCAGACUUGAGGGUGAUGCUGCUGUUGGAGCUGGUGUUAACUGGCAUGUUAUGUCAACAAUGAUGAUG